AACGAACGCUGGCGUCAGGCUUAACACAUGCUAGUCGAGCGCCCCGCAAGGGGAGCGGCAGACGGGUGAGUAACGCGUGGGAAUCUACCCAUCUCUACGGAAUAACGCAUGGAAACGUGUGCUAAUACCGUAUACGUCCUUCGGGAGAAAGAUUUAUCGGAGAUGGAUGAGCCCCCGUUGGAUUAGCUAGUUGUUGGGGUAAAGGCCUACCAAGGCGACGAUCCAUAGCUGGUCUGAGAGGAUGAUCAGCCACACUGGGAGUGAGACAGGGCCCAGAAUCCUACGGGAGGCAGCAGUGGGGAAUAUUGGACAAUGGGCGCAAGCCUGAUCCAGCCAUGCCGCGUGAGUGAUGAAGGCCCUAGGGUUGUAAAGCUCUUUCACCGGUGAAGAUAAUGACGGUAACCGGAGAAGAAGCACCGGCUAACUUCGUGCCAGCCGCCGCCGUAAGAC
rnacentral:rRNA from 1 species